rnacentral:tRNA from 1 species
GUUGUGAUGGCCGAGUGGUUAAGGCGUUGAACUUGAAAUCCAAGGGGAUCUUCCCGUGCAGGUUUGAACCCUGUUCGCAGCG